rnacentral:rRNA from 1 species
AGAGUUUGAUCCUGGCUCAGAGUGAACGCUGGCGGCGUGCCUAAUACAUGCAAGUCGAACGAUGAAGCUUCUAGCUUGCUAGAAGUGGAUUAGUGGCGCACGGGUGAGUAACGCAUAGGUUAUGUGUCUCUUAGUUUGGGAUAGCCAUUGGAAACGAUGAUUAAUACCAGAUACUCCCUACGGGGGAAAGAUUUAUCGCUAAGAGAUCAGCCUAUGUCCUAUCAGCUUGUUGGUAAGGUAAUGGCUUACCAAGGCUAUGACGGGUAUCCGGCCUGAGAGGGUGAACGGACACACUGGAACUGAGACACGGUCCAGACUCCUACGGGAGGCAGCAGUAGGGAAUAUUGCUCAAUGGGGGAAACCCUGAAGCAGCAACGCCGCGUGGAGGAUGAAGGUUUUAGGAUUGUAAACUCCUUUUGUUAGAGAAGAUAAUGACGGUAUCUAACGAAUAAGCACCGGCUAACUCCGUGCCAGCAGCCGCGGUAAUACGGAGGGUGCAAGCGUUACUCGGAAUCACUGGGCGUAAAGAGCGCGUAGGCGGGAUAGUCAGUCAGGUGUGAAAUCCUAUGGCUUAACCAUAGAACUGCAUUUGAAACUACUAUUCUAGAGUGUGGGAGAGGUAGGUGGAAUUCUUGGUGUAGGGGUAAAAUCCGUAGAGAUCAAGAGGAAUACUCAUUGCGAAGGCGACCUGCUGGAACAUUACUGACGCUGAUUGCGCGAAAGCGUGGGGAGCAAACAGGAUUAGAUACCCUGGUAGUCCACGCCCUAAACGAUGGAUGCUAGUUGUUGGAGGGCUUAGUCUCUCCAGUAAUGCAGCUAACGCAUUAAGCAUCCCGCCUGGGGAGUACGGUCGCAAGAUUAAAACUCAAAGGAAUAGACGGGGACCCGCACAAGCGGUGGAGCAUGUGGUUUAAUUCGAAGAUACACGAAGAACCUUACCUAGGCUUGACAUUGAGAGAAUCCGCUAGAAAUAGUGGAGUGUCUAGCUUGCUAGACCUUGAAAACAGGUGCUGCACGGCUGUCGUCAGCUCGUGUCGUGAGAUGUUGGGUUAAGUCCCGCAACGAGCGCAACCCCCUUUCUUAGUUGCUAACAGGUCAUGCUGAGAACUCUAAGGAUACUGCCUCCGUAAGGAGGAGGAAGGUGGGGACGACGUCAAGUCAUCAUGGCCCUUACGCCUAGGGCUACACACGUGCUACAAUGGGGUGCACAAAGAGAAGCAAUACUGCGAAGUGGAGCCAAUCUUCAAAACGCCUCUCAGUUCGGAUUGUAGGCUGCAACUCGCCUGCAUGAAGCUGGAAUCGCUAGUAAUCGCAAAUCAGCCAUGUUGCGGUGAAUACGUUCCCGGGUCUUGUACUCACCGCCCGUCACACCAUGGGAGUUGUGUUUGCCUUAAGUCAGGAUGCUAAACUAGCUACUGCCCACGGCACACACAGCGACUGGGGUGAAGUCGUAACAAGGUAACCGUAGGUGAACCUGCGGUUGGAUCACCU